AUGGGCUGCAACAUCAGACAUCAACUCCUGGUUACUCAACGUUCUUUACGGUGCAACCUCUACAUGUUUUCAUCUGCCAAGGCGAGUUGGAGUGCGCCUACAAGCUGCUUCGGCGACAAGACUUGGGCAUAUCCGAGCGGCGGCUUUUGGAUGCCAUUCGAGAGCCACAUUCGGCAUAGCCACAACGCCGUCGUGUGUGGCGGCAUGACGCACUGGCUCGCCGCGUACCAGCCAGUUGGGGGCCCAAGAAAGUAUCACACCUUCAACGUCAGUGUCGACACAGGUCACGUCUCCUUGACAGAGGUCUCCAUCCCACUCGUCAAAGGCCUUUAUGGCUGGCCAAUACUUUGCGUCGGAGUGGAGGGGACACUCCUGUUGUUUAACGUACACAAUAAAGCUAGCGUCCCGUGCCUAGAUAUCUGGACACGCCGGGCAGGCAGCGACGCAGAGAGUGAAACCUUUUGGCUCCAUGUUGGGGUGUUUGACCUAAAAUCUCCCAAGGAGAAGUGGUGUGCUGAGAAGAUCCGUGUGUGGCUGGGAAAAAAGAGUGGUACACUGUUUAUCUUAGACAAGUCGUGCCACGCUCACAAGCUUGAUACCGAAACAGGAGCGAUGGAGGAUGUAACUGGGCUAUUUCGAGACAGCUUGUGUAUCAAUGCCGUGCCUAUUGAGAUUGACUGGCCGACAUUGUUCCUAUCUCGGCUUGCUUAG
rnacentral:rRNA from 1 species